GCAUUCCUCAUCCAUCUACUUAUCUCAGAGCUUACACUGUGCCAGGCAUAGGUAGUAAGCACUCAAGAAAUCUUUGAGAGGGAGACAUUCUGUUCCGUUCAGCAAAGACAGAGGAAAACUUCAGUGAUCUGCCAAGUCACCAGAAAGACCAAGGAGUUGCCCAGGAUCUCCCAGAAUCAAGAGGAAGCUAAAGGAACUGUGUCAUCUCAUAGCCAAACAUUUGUUGGUCUCUCUCAUUCCGCCAUCAUCGAGUCAAUACCUACGACGCGGCAGGAACACCAUCAGGUGCUGGGGACUGCGGGUGUCAGACAGGGCCGCUUAACCAUGAGCGACUUUGUCUGCUAAGUAUAUUUAGCAAUGGCCGGAGACAUUUUGGUUGUCACAACUGGGGAGGGGGCUACUGACAUCCGAUGGAUAGAGGCCACGGAUGCUAAACCCCUUACAAUGCAAAGGACAACCGUGCACAGAAU
rnacentral:lncRNA from 1 species